GGGGGCGUAAUGGUUUCGACGGGGAUUGCGGGGUCGAGAAUAGCCAUCCGCAGACGGUGACUGCGUAUAAAAACCGAACUUAAAUAUAAUCGACAACGAUUACGAACUAGUCGCCGCGUAAGCGGCCGUCGGCCCAAGGUCACCUGCUGCUUUGGAAUCCGGCGUCGACUAGGCAGGGCACUUUUCCGCUUAAGCUUUGCGGCGUGAAAAAGACUCAUGAAGCUACUUGACGAGGAGUCGCGUUGGUUUGUCUCCUCCGAUGGGAAAUUUGAAUAGCCAACUGUGAUGGGAGAGGUUUUCGGCUUUGGAUUUUCGGACCCGGGUUCGAUUCCCGGCGCCUCCAUUA
rnacentral:tmRNA from 1 species